rfam:Ruminococcus flavefaciens strain YL228 genome assembly, contig: IE39DRAFT_scaffold00001.1
UGAGCAGACUAUGCGGUAGCGGAAACGUUUUAGUUUACGAGGAAAGUCCGAGCAUCAUAGAGCAGGGUAGCUGCUAACGGCAGCCGAGGGCGACCUUAGGGCAAGUGCAACAGAGAUAUACUGCCGUCUUUAUGGCGGUGAUGGUGGAAAGGCGAGGUAAGAGCUCACCAGAGUACUGGAGACAGUACUGCUAUGUAAACCCUAUCCGAUGCAACGUCUAUUGGUGCCUGUUAUCUUAACGUCGGCUCGGCGGAUAACAGGUAAUGACGGCUUGAGCUUACCGGCGACGGUAAGCGUAGAUAAAUUACCGCACACGACAGAACUCGGCUUAUCGGUCUGGUCAUAAA